rnacentral:misc_RNA from 1 species
AACGCACAUUGCGCCCCUUGGUAUUCCGAGGGGCAUGCCUGUUCGAGCGUCAUUUCAACCCCUCAAGCCCUGGCUUGGUGUUGGGCCGCGCCAGCAUGCUGGCGGGCCUUAAAAUCAGUGGCGGUGCCGCUGGGGCUCUAAGCGUAGUAGCACAUCUCGCUCUGGAGACCUGGCGGUUGCUUGCCAGACAACCUUCACUAAAACACAAAGGUUUGACCUCGGAUCAGGUAGGGAUACCCGCUGAACUUAA